AAAGAAUAUAUUCUGUGGCUGGAGAGGAGGGCUAGUUAUCACCAAUGUGUGCAAGAUUGGUGAGUGUGUCUGACAGUGUUCAUAGAUUUAAUUACAAAAAGAUUCAUGGUUAGCUGAGCUCAGGUAAAUAACAGUUUGACUACAUUAUGUACAGAUACAAAUGAUGUCCUAAAGAGGUUGUGUAAUAAUGCACGUGACACCUCUUUUGACCAGUGUUACUUAAUGUCAGUUGAUGAGUGUUUCAGUAUUUCUAUGCCUGGCAGGUUCUUCUUUUUAUUUCUAACUAAGUGUCUUGCUCUGUGCUGUUAUUUCUGAAUCAGUAGGAAGUUGUAGGGGUAUGAGAAACAUUAGACACCCUAAGGGAGAUGAAGGUCAAAUGAAAUUUUAAUGUUUUGUAUUUCUUCAUCCUAAAGAUGCUAUCUAUUUAUCUGGUCUAUCUUUACAUCUUUCUUUUUUCUUCUUGUUUGGAAAGGUGUCAAAGGGCACAUCCUCCAAUCCCUGGCUUGAGACCAGUUUGCGUGACAGGCCCUGCUGACAGGUGGAGGGUUGAGGACAGUGCCUGGUGGCUUGGGCUCUGCUCACUGUUCUACUGGCAUCACGAAUGCAUGUGGCUCGACUCUGGGAAUCUUGGAGCAACGCAGACGGCAAGUUCACAAUAGGUGUUUGCCCUUCAAUAGGCCAGAACUAAAACUUUAUCCCCUUCACAGUGGGGCCUCCUAAUUAGAUAUAAAUAAAUCCAUCAAGCAAAAAUCAAAUCCUUCCCUUUCCAUUCAUUUUUUUUUCCUUUGGCAUUUCAACCCAUAAUCUAAUAUAUGGGGAAGAGAAGGCACUGUAGAGGUUGAAUGACCUGGGCUAGGGAGGUAGGUGAGAAAUGCCUCCUUUCUCAGACCAGCACCUGACUCGCAGUUUGGGGGCCUGGGUGGGGAAGGAGGAGGAAAGACAGGGAGCAUGGUGUGAACCAGGAGCCUGCCCAGUGCCCAGACCAAAAGGGAAGGGGCUGAACAUUGAGAGGACUUGAAAUUAACAGAGCUUUACCAGCCAGUCAAUAGGUCCUGGCUGCAGGAAGCUGAAGCUGCUAAUGGCUCUGUUUUUUUCUCCUUCUACAGCCACGGUGGUUCCCCCUGUGGAGUUCCCUUCAAUGCGAGACAGAGACCAUUUUACUGACUGCGAAAAUUCAAUUAGAGUCUUAUGUCAGGGUGGGGAGAACUUAUGCGAAGCCCAACAUUCUGGUGGCUCUCUUUUUGAUCUGCUUUACCGUGGUACCUUCACAGGAAAAAAUAUACCAACUUGGACAGCCAUCCUCAGGGGCCUGCUGUUGAAAUAUUUCCUGAAUGUUCACAAAUUUCCUGGAUGUUCAAAACAUGUUGAAUUCUACUCUCACAGAACCUCCAGUAGCCCACGAAUUGGUCUGAAGGCCCUUGCUGGAUGAACCAGAAGUGGGUCCUCUCUACCUAGCUACAUCGAGGCUCCCCAGUCUUACUGAGAAUGAGGCCCAGAACACAAGAGUUUGUAUGGUUCUUGCUGACGUACAAUAGAUUUCAGGGGUUGGGGAACUGAGGACAUCAUCUCAAAAGUACCACAAUUGAUGAGUAGCCCUAUGAAAUGCUUUUGUGUUAAAGCCUGUUUAGGAAAUAGAAUGGGGACAUGAGCAGGUAUGAUAUACCUGUGUCCACCUGCUUACACCUGCUGGGAGGGGACAGCAGCACACACCUGGAAGCAUGGAGUGGCUUGCCGUCCAAGCUGACCAGAACGCAGGGCCUGUGCUGGAGUCCUGGGCCUGCUGCUGACCUACAGGGUCUUGGCCCAGCCACACUGGGCACCUCAGCUCCUCUGUCUGCCCCAUGUGAUGCCCCUACUUCAUUCAGUCCAUAAGCACUCACCAAGGCAGGUGCGGUGCGGGACACUGGACAGUGACAGAUGAAUAACAUAGGUCUUGGCCCCCCGAGCCCAUGAGCUACCAGAGAUAAUAAGCAUCCUCACUGAGGCCACUGCUGGGUUUAUGGAUGCAGAUGGCUGCCAGGGCCCUCCUGAGGUAGGAGGCACCCAGCUGCCCUGGUAAGAAAUACAGGACUGUCUUAUCAAAAUAACCCUCCUGUGUUCACUCUUUCAUCAAGGACUUGAGUCUGUGACCUCAAAGGCAUGAGGUGGCCUUGGGGCAUUCUGUGGGGCUCCAUGUUGGUCUCUGAGCUCUUACAAAGGCCAGCUUGACCCCCAACCCUAGGAGGCACUCUUGGCUGGGUUCUCCUUCCCACCUGGCUCCAGGCUGAGGCCGUCCAUUGCCAGUGUCCAGGGCUGCUGGCUGAGCAGGACACUGCUGCACUGGGCCUGGCACGCACCUCCUCUGUGCAGAGAUCGAGUUGCUCUGGAGA
rnacentral:lncRNA from 1 species